rnacentral:rRNA from 1 species
UCUGGAAAGGCGCGCGAUACAGGGUGACAGCCCCGUACACAAAAAUGCACAUGCUGUGAGCUCGAUGAGUAGGGCGGGACACGUGGUAUCCUGUCUGAAUAUGGGGGGACCAUCCUCCAAGGCUAAAUACUCCUGACUGACCGAUAGUGAACCAGUACCGUGAGGGAAAGGCGAAAAGAACCCCGGCGAGGGGAGUGAAAAAGAACCUGAAACCGUGUACGUACAAGCAGUGGGAGCACGCUUAGGCGUGUGACUGCGUACCUUUUGUAUAAUGGGUCAGCGACUUAUAUUCUGUAGCAAGGUUAACCGAAUAGGGGAGCCGAAGGGAAACCGAGUCUUAACUGGGCGUUAAGUUGCAGGGUAUAGACCCGAAACCCGGUGAUCUAGCCAUGGGCAGGUUGAAGGUUGGGUAACACUAACUGGAGGACCGAACCGACUAAUGUUGAAAAAUUAGCGGAUGACUUGUGGCUGGGGGUGAAAGGCCAAUCAAACCGGGAGAUAGCUGGUUCUCCCCGAAAGCUAUUUAGGUAGCGCCUCGUGAAUUCAUCUCCGGGGGUAG